AAUGCUUUUAUGCAAUCACUAGACUACUGGCCAAUAAGAUGAUGUGUAGACUGUUUGCAAAAACCUCACAUCCAGGCUGCAAGUUUGUGAGGACAAGUCACAGAAUUUCAAGCCCUUGACAAAAUGCCUACAUGUAACUUUUCUCCGUUACAGAAACCCAGAUCUUGUAACUGCUGGAGUACGUGUGUGUUUGUGUAACUCGUCUUCUCUGUGUGAACUAGAAACCAGGAUGUCAUUUGGCUAUGACAACAAAGCUUGUAUGACCACUGGUUAUUUAAAUAAAAUGUUAAUAAAGUGUUUCUGAUGAUAUUUGUUCUUUUAAUAAAGCUGUGACUGAUUUUA